rnacentral:rRNA from 1 species
UUUGAGAAGGUAUGCCUUCGAUGGUGAUUGGACUUGCUCCAUGAGCUAUUGAAGGUCGCAGGUAAUCGGUGGCUGCGACUGUUUAUCAAAAACACAGGACUCUGCGAACACGUAAGUGGAUGUAUAGGGUCUGACGCCUGCCCGGUGCCGGAAGGUUAAUUGAUGGGGUUAGCGCAAGCGAAGCUCUUGAUCGAAGCCCCGGUAAACGGCGGCCGUAACAAUAACGGUCCUAAGGUAGCGAAAUUCCUUGUCGGGUAAGUUCCGACCUGCACGAAUGGCGUAACGCUGGCCACACUGUCUCGACCAGAGACUCAGUGAAGUUGAAAUCGCUGUGGAGAUGCGGCGUUCCCGCGGAAAGACGGAAAGACCCCGUGAACCUUUACUACAGCUUUACACUGAACUUUGAACCUUCCUGUGUAGGAUAGGUGGGAGGCUUUGAAGCCUGGGCGCUAGCUCAGGUGGAGCCAAUCUUGAAAUACCACCCUGGAAUGUUCGGAGUUCUAACCUUGGUCCGUAAUCCGGAUUGGGGACAGUGUAUGGUGGGUAGUUUGACUGGGGCGGUCUCCUCCCAAAGAGUAACGGAGGAGUGCAAAGGUACGCUCAGCGCGGUCGGUCAUCGCGCUCUAGAGUGCAAAGGCAUAAGCGUGCUUAACUGUGAGACGGACAUGUCGAACAGGUACGAAAGUAGGUCUUAGUGAUCCGGUGGUUCUGUAUGGAAGGGCCAUCGCUCAACGGAUAAAAGGUACUCCGGGGAUGACAGGCUUAUUCCGCCCAAGAGUCCACAUCGACGGCGGAGUUUGGCACCUCGAUGUCGGCUCAUCACAUCCUGGGGCUGUAGCAGGUCCAAGGGUAUGGCUGUUCGCCAUUUAAAGUCGUAUGCGAGCUGGGUUCAGAACGUCGUGAGACAGUUCGGUCCCUAUCUUCCGUGGGCGUUGGAAACUUGAGGGUGAGCUGUCCUUAGUACGAGAGGACCGGGAUGGACGUAUCUCUGGUGUUCCGGUUGUCACGCCAGUGGCACUGCCGGGUAGCUAUAUACGGACGGGAUAAUCGCUGAAAGCAUCUAAGCGAGAAGCCCCCCCCAAGAUUAGGUUUCCCUGGGAGCUUGACUCCCCUAAAGGGCCGUCGAAGACUACGACGUUGAUAGGUUGGGUGUGUACAGGUAGUAAUAUCUUGAGCUAACCAAUACUAAUUGCCCGUGAGACUUGAUC